UCAGGACGAACGCUGGCGGCGUGCCUAACACAUGCAAGUCGAGCGGGGACAUUGCGACGGAGACGAAGUACUCGUACGGAGUCAAAGAUGUAAUGUCUAGCGGCGGACGGGUGAGUAACGCGUGAGCAACCUGUCCCUUACAGGGGGAUAACACAGCGAAAGUUGUACUAAUACCGCAUAAGACCACAGAGUGACAUCGCUCAGGGGUCAAAGGAGCAAUCCGGUAAGGGGUGGGCUCGCGUCCGAUUAGAUAGUUGGUGAGGUAACGGCCCACCAAGUCGACGAUCGGUAGCCGACCUGAGAGGGUGAUCGGCCACAUUGGGACUGAGACACGGCCCAAACUCCUACGGGAGGCAGCAGUGGGGAAUAUUGGGCAAUGGGGGGAAACCCUGACCCAGCAACGCCGCGUGAGGGAAGAAGGUUUUCGGAUCGUAAACCUCUGUCCCAGGUGAAGAGGAAGAGACGGUAGCCUGGGAGGAAGCCCCGGCUAACUACGUGCCAGCCGCCGC
rnacentral:rRNA from 1 species